rnacentral:rRNA from 1 species
GGAGUUUGGGCCGUGUCUCAGUCCCAAUGUGGCCGUUCACCCUCUCAGGCCGGCUACUGAUCGUCGCCUUGGUGGGCCGUUACCUCACCAACCAGCUAAUCAGACGCGGGUCCAUCUCACACCACCGGAGUUUUUCACACUGUACCAUGCGGUACUGUGCGCUUAUGCGGUAUUAGCAGUCGUUUCCAACUGUUGUCCCCCUGUGUGAGGCAGGUUACCCACGCGUUACUCACCCGUCCGCCACUAAACUAUAAAAAACGUCACCCCGAAGGGAUCAGUCUAAACAGUUCCGUUCGACUUGCAUGUGUUAAGCACGCCGCCAGCGUUCAUC